AUGGACCCCGUGAGGGUGCGGACGAGAAUUCCUAUCAUCUACGAGGUCGUGGAAGAUCGGGAGCCGGCCGACGGGCAGGAAUUCUUGGAACGAGGUGUACGGGAUUGGAUGCAAGGCCGGUUGCCGUUGAUCGACCAAGAACUCGACAUGUUGCAAAGACAACAAGAGGCUCGGCUGCAGAGCCGCUAUGAGGAGGAGGAGGAGGAGGGCCCGUUCUGGCCGAGUUUGGCAGUCCCGGCCUCGCUCGACGCCGUCCUGCAGCUGCCGGAGACAGCCGGCGCGCCAGCCGGAGCCCGGCUCCAGCAGACGGAGUGCGCCGUGUGCCUCAAGGAUUUCGAGGUGGACGACAAGGUCGCCACGAUGCCGUGUGACCACUACUUCCACCAAGGUUGCAUCUCCGAGUGGCUCAAGGUCAGCUGCGCCUGCCCCCUCUGCCGUCACGCGCUUCCUGCUGCAACUCCACCGGCGCACCACAUGGAGGCGACGAGUCCAUGA
rnacentral:rRNA from 1 species